UACGAAGGGGGCUAGCGUUGCUCGGAAUCACUGGGCGUAAAGGGUGCGUAGGCGGGUCUUUAAGUCAGGGGUGAAAUCCUGGAGCUCAACUCCAGAACUGCCUUUGAUACUGAAGAUCUUGAGUUCGGGAGAGGUGAGUGGAACUGCGAGUGUAGAGGUGAAAUUCGUAGAUAUUCGCAAGAACACCAGUGGCGAAGGCGGCUCACUGGCCCGAUACUGACGCUGAGGCACGAAGGCGAGGGGAGCAAACAGG
rnacentral:rRNA from 1 species